rnacentral:rRNA from 1 species
GACGAACGCUGGCGGCGUGCUUACACAUGCAAGUUGAACGGUAAGGCCCUUCGGGGUACACGAGUGGCAAACGGGUGAGUAACACGUGGGUGACCUGCCUUCGAGUGGGGGAUAACGUCCCGAAAGGGACGCUAAUACCGCAUGACAUCCUGCUUUUGGAAAAGCGGAGAUCAAAGCUGGGGAUCGAAAGACCUGGCGCUUGAAGAGGGGCCCGCGCCUGAUUAGCUAGUGGGUGGGGUAAGGGCUCACCAAGGCAACGAUCAGUAUCCGGCCUGAGGGGGCGGACGGACGAACUGGGACGGAGCCACGGCCCAGACUCCUACGGGAGGCAGCAGUGGGGAAUUUUGGACAAUGGGGGCAACCCUGAUCCAGCCAUGCCGCGUGAGUGAAGAAGGCCUUCGGGUUGUAAAGCUCUUUCGGCCGGGAAGAAAUCGUGUGGGCUAAUACCCUGCAUGGAUGACGGUACCGGAAUAAGAAGCACCGGCUAACUACGUGCCAGCCGCCGCCGUAA